rnacentral:rRNA from 1 species
AUUGAACGCUGGCGGCAUGCCUUACACAUGCAAGUCGAACGGCCGCACGGGUGCUUGCACCUGGUGGCGAGUGGCGAACGGGUGAGUAAUACAUCGGAACAUGUCCUGUAGUGGGGGAUAGUCCGGCGAAAGCCGGAUUAAUACCGCAUACGAUCUACGGCUGAAAGCGGGGGACCUUCGGGCCUCGCGCUAUAGCGUUGGCCGAUAGCUGAUUAGCUAGUUGGUGGGGUAAAGGCCUACCAAGGCGACGAUCAGUAGCUGGUAUGAGAGGACGACCAGCCACACUGGGACUGAGACACGGCCCAGACUCCUACGGGAGGCAGCAGUGGGGAAUUUUGGACAAUGGGCGAAAGCCUGAUCCAGCAAUGCCGCGUGUGUGAAGAAGGCCUUCGGGUUGUAAAGCACUUUUGUCCGGAAAGAAAUCCUUGGCUCUAAUACAGUCGGGGGAUGACGGUACCGGAAGAAUAAGCACCGGCUAACUACGUG